CGGACGAUCCUGUUGGUGCCAAAGGUUGAUUCCGGUGGCGGAUGGGCAUGCGUCGCAUUAGUUAGUUGGCGGUGUAACGGACCACCAAGACGACGAUGCGUAGGGGUUCUGAGAGGAAGGUCCCCCACACUGGUACUGAGACACGGACCAGACUCCUACGGAAGGCAGCAG
rnacentral:rRNA from 1 species